AGGAAAGUGGCUCAGUGGUAGAGCGCUUGCCUCCCAUGCAUGAGGCCCUGGUUUGUUUUCCUC
rnacentral:tRNA from 1 species